rnacentral:lncRNA from 1 species
AAUCACGAGUACGGAUGGAUGCUGUGAAUUCACGAAAGGUAGGUCCUAAUCCAUUAAGUGCAUAAAUGACCAAAUCGAGAUCAUCAAGAGGAUGUCCGAUGAGUGAUAACUCAUCAGAAAUGGAUUUCAUGGACUGAAGGUAUGAUGCAGCAGAAGAUGUCCCUUUUUUGAGAGAGUUGAGACGCUCUUUCAGAGACAUGAUCCGAG